rnacentral:rRNA from 1 species
GCGCGGGGGGCUUAUACUUGCAAGUCGAACGAACUCUGGUAUUGAUUGGUGCUUGCAUCAUGAUUUACAUUUGAGUGAGUGGCGAACUGGUGAGUAACACGUGGGAAACCUGCCCAGAAGCGGGGGAUAACACCUGGAAACAGAUGCUAAUACCGCAUAACAACUUGGACCGCAUGGUCCGAGUUUGAAAGAUGGCUUCGGCUAUCACUUUUGGAUGGUCCCGCGGCGUAUUAGCUAGAUGGUGAGGUAACGGCUCACCAUGGCAAUGAUACGUAGCCGACCUGAGAGGGUAAUCGGCCACAUUGGGACUGAGACACGGCCCAAACUCCUACGGGAGGCAGCAGUAGGGAAUCUUCCACAAUGGACGAAAGUCUGAUGGAGCAACGCCGCGUGAGUGAAGAAGGGUUUCGGCUCGUAAAACUCUGUUGUUAAAGAAGAACAUAUCUGAGAGUAACUGUUCAGGUAUUGACGGUAUUUAACCAGAAAGCCACGGCUAACUACGUGCCAGCAGCCGCGGUAAUACGUAGGUGGCAAGCGUUGUCCGGAUUUAUUGGGCGUAAAGCGAGCGCAGGCGGUUUUUUAAGUCUGAUGUGAAAGCCUUCGGCUCAACCGAAGAAGUGCAUCGGAAACUGGGAAACUUGAGUGCAGAAGAGGACAGUGGAACUCCAUGUGUAGCGGUGAAAUGCGUAGAUAUAUGGAAGAACACCAGUGGCGAAGGCGGCUGUCUGGUCUGUAACUGACGCUGAGGCUCGAAAGUAUGGGUAGCAAACAGGAUUAGAUACCCUGGUAGUCCAUACCGUAAACGAUGAAUGCUAAGUGUUGGAGGGUUUCCGCCCUUCAGUGCUGCAGCUAACGCAUUAAGCAUUCCGCCUGGGGAGUACGGCCGCAAGGCUGAAACUCAAAGGAAUUGACGGGGGCCCGCACAAGCGGUGGAGCAUGUGGUUUAAUUCGAAGCUACGCGAAGAACCUUACCAGGUCUUGACAUACUAUGCAAAUCUAAGAGAUUAGACGUUCCCUUCGGGGACAUGGAUACAGGUGGUGCAUGGUUGUCGUCAGCUCGUGUCGUGAGAUGUUGGGUUAAGUCCCGCAACGAGCGCAACCCUUAUUAUCAGUUGCCAGCAUUAAGUUGGGCACUCUGGUGAGACUGCCGGUGACAAACCGGAGGAAGGUGGGGAUGACGUCAAAUCAUCAUGCCCCUUAUGACCUGGGCUACACACGUGCUACAAUGGAUGGUACAACGAGUUGCGAACUCGCGAGAGUAAGCUAAUCUCUUAAAGCCAUUCUCAGUUCGGAUUGUAGGCUGCAACUCGCCUACAUGAAGUCGGAAUCGCUAGUAAUCGCGGAUCAGCAUGCCGCGGUGAAUACGUUCCCGGGCCUUGUACACACCGCCCGUCACACCAUGAGAGUUUGUAACACCCAAAGUCGGUGGGGUAACCUUUUAGGAACCAGCCGCCUAAAGGGGCAUAG